GACACAGUGGCAUAGUGGUUAGCACUGUCGCCUCACAGCAAGAAGGUCGUGGGUUCGAAUCUCGACUUGUGGCC
rnacentral:tRNA from 1 species